AAACCGUUACCAUUACUGUGUUU
rnacentral:ncRNA from 2 species